CAAUAGCGUAUAUUUAAGUUGUUGCAGUUAAAAAGCUCGUAGUUGGAUUUCGGUUAAGAGCGACCGGUCCGCCGUUUGGUGUGCACUGGUUGGUUUUAACUUCCUGUAGAGGACGUGCUCUGGGUUUAACGACCUGGACUCGGAGUCUACGUGGUUACUUUGAAAAAAUUAGAGUGUUCAAAGCGGGCUUACGCUUGAAUAUUUCAGCAUGGAAUAACACUAUAGGACUCCUGUCCUAUUUCGUUGGUCUCGGGACGGGAGUAAUGAUUAAGAGGAACAGUUGGGGGCAUUCGUAUUUCAUUGUCAGAGGUGAAAUUCUUGGAUUUAUGAAAGACGAACUUCUGCGAAAGCAUUUGCCAAGGGUGUUUUCAUUAA
rnacentral:rRNA from 1 species